UAGGGAAUCUUCGGCAAUGGACGAAAGUCUGACCGAGCAACGCCGCGUGAGUGAAGAAGGUUUUCGGAUCGUAAAACUCUGUUGUUAGAGAAGAACAAGGACGUUAGUAACUGAACGUCCCCUGACGGUAUCUAACCAGAAAGCCACGGCUAACUACGUGCCAGCAGCCGCGGUAAUACGUAGGUGGCAAGCGUUGUCCGGAUUUAUUGGGCGUAAAGCGAGCGCAGGCGGUUUCUUAAGUCUGAUGUGAAGCCCCCGGCUCAACCGGGGAGGGUCAUUGGAAACUGGGAGACUUUAGUGCAGAAGAGGAGAGUGGAAUUCCAUGUGUAGCGGUGAAAUGCGUAGAUAUAUGGAGGAACACCAGUGGCGAAGGCGGCUCUCUGGUCUGUAACUGACGCUGAGGCUCGAAAGCGUGGGGAGCAAACAGG
rnacentral:rRNA from 1 species